CCCCGACCAUGGCGUGCCCUAGUUGCCCUGUCUCUAGAGGCAAAGCACCGCAGCUAACGAGGCGUAGUCUGGCAAGAUCCAGGCAGAGACAAGGAGAUGUGGGGUCAGUGAAGAUAGAACGAUCCACUGCCUUGUGCUUCACCUCUCGUGAGCUCCUCAUUCAGAUUCAUUCCUUGAUUCAACAAAUCAAUGAACGCAGCCUCUAUUAGGACAUAAGGCGAUGGAGAUUUUUUUUUUCUGAGAUUCUGUUUUGGUUGUUUGUUCUUUCCAGAUAUUUGUUCUUGCAUUUUUCUAUGACAGAUCUUGUUACUUUCCGUUCAUGGUUCAGAUUUUUCUUUCAAAUGUUCAUGUUUCUGAUCUUGUUUCAUUUAGUUCUUGCAAUUAGUUCAUAGUCAGGGAAGACAAAGAGGAAAGGAAGAUUACAAUUAGAAUAUAAUAAAACCAUAAGAGGAGGAAUAUCAGGAAGAGAUUUGGCCAAUCUGAGUCAGCCCCACCAGAUUCGAUUUUCCAAUCAAUAAGUAUCUUUUGCAUCUGUUGUAUGAGGCCACACCUUGUGUAUUUAUAUACAUGUACUCACAUCCUUCAGAUUUUUAAUGUGUUAGAUUUAUAUGCUUUGGCCGGGAAGAUUAGAAUACUUAAAUAGUGUAUACAAGUGACGACCAUCUUGUGUUUAGACCGUGGCAGCGCACGGGCAUUUCCACUAGUAGAAGUAGUAUAGAUGUUUGUGAUGUAGCCCUGUCUAGAGCAGGCGUGGAUUUCGUAAUUCUAACUUCACUGUGAAUCUAUUUGAGAUUUUGUAGCAUGGUAACUGUGCUUCGUCUAAAGAAGCCGGUAUUUUUUUUUUCUGGUGACCUUUUGGUAGUAAUUUUAGUGUCGGUACGACGGUACCAUGACAGUAGUAGAACUCUUCUUCACACGCUGUACAUGCAUAUCUGAUAUCAUUAUUGACCAUUUCAGCCCGGAGUCGUUGACCAUUUCAGCCCGGAGUUGGAACUAGAGCCAAGCCGUACGACUAUCUUAGAAUUCCGUCUCACAAAAUUGGCAACUUGGUAAUCCAUUAGAGAAAAAAAUAUUUUUCGUCCAUCAACUUGUCGAAAAGUAGACAACUAGUCUCUUAACUUUUUUCAUAUACUUUUAGUACCUCAAUAGUCGAAACUGGAUAACAACGGUUCCUCACCCAUUUGAAAUGGUAUUAGUGCUGAUG
rnacentral:lncRNA from 1 species